UUGUCGCACAGACCCCCCCACACCAGUGCGCCCACCAUCAUGGCCACGUACACCAGCAAUCCUGACAGACACGGGCACACCACUUGUUACGCAUUGUGGCAAAACAAGACUGACUUCAUGUUGACGCCAGCGAUCAAGAUGGCUGAAUAUUCAUGCGGCAGGAAUAAGAAAUAAAGGUCAGCAUCAUAAAACGUUGAA